rnacentral:rRNA from 1 species
AGUUUGAUCCUGGCUCAGAGCGAACGCUGGCGGCAGGCUUAACACAUGCAAGUCGAACGCUCCGCAAGGAGAGUGGCAGACGGGUGAGGAACACGUGGGAACAUACCUUUCAGUUCGGAAUAACUCAGGGAAACUUGAGCUAAUACCGGAUACGUCCGCAAGGAGAAAGAUUUAUCGCUGAAAGAUUGGCCCGCGUCUGAUUAGCUAGUUGGUGAGGUAAUGGCUCACCAAGGCGACGAUCAGUAGCUGGCCU